rnacentral:rRNA from 1 species
AGUGAACGCUGGCGGUAGGCCUAGCACAUGCAAGUCGAACGGCAGCACAGUAAGAGCUUGCUCUUACGGGUGGCGAGUGGCGGACGGGUGAGGAAUACAUCGGAAUCUACUUUUUCGUGGGGGAUAACGUAGGGAAACUUACGCUAAUACCGCAUACGACCUACGGGUGAAAGCAGGGGAUCUUCGGACCUUGCGCGAUUGAAUGAGUCGAUGUCGGAUUAGCUAGUUGGCGGGGUAAAGGCCCACCAAGGCGACGAUCCGUAGCUGGUCUGAGAGGAUGAUCAGCCACACUGGAACUGAGACACGGUCCAGACUCCUACGGGAGGCAGCAGUGGGGAAUAUUGGACAAUGGGCGCAAGCCUGAUCCAGCCAUACCGCGUGGGUGAAGAAGGCCUUCGGGUUGUAAAGCCCUUUUGUUGGGAAAGAAAAGCAGCAGGUUAAUACCCCGCUGUUCUGACGUUACCCAAAGAAUAAGCACCGGCUAACUUCGUG